CGGGCGGAUCUGGGAGCGUUUUGCGCAGGCCAUCGAUGCGCCGGAUCUGCUGACGCAUCUCGACUACGCAACGAUCGCGCUGCGCUCGAAGAACCGCGAUGCAUUGAACGCCGCCAUCGACACGUAUAUGGCGAAGCGCACCACCGGCGAAUGGGUUAAAAUCCUCAACGACGCCGGCGUGCCAUGCGGCCCUAUUUACUCCAUCGAUCAGGUGUUCGAUGACGAGCAGGUCAAGUAUCUCGGCAUCGCGCAGCAAUUGCCCGACGCAGGCAAACAUCUGGUCGGCCAGCC
rnacentral:misc_RNA from 1 species